CUGAAGCGGGAAGAGCUCAUUCUGUGAAUCUGUAUACUAUUUUUGGUAUACCGAGUUGUGGAAUAUAGAAGCACAUCAGUUCGAGUUCUGGUCUAAGUCUCUUGGAAAAGAGCAGCUUAGAGGGUGACACUCCCGUUCUUGGCUAGAACUCAAACUUUAGCAUGUGGUUUCGACGAGUCGAGUUGCUUGGGAUUGCAGCUCAAAGUUGGUGGUAAAUUCCAUCUAAAGCUAAAUAUCGGUGGGAGACCGAUAGCGUACAAGUACCGUGAGGGAAAGAUGCAAAGAACUUUGAAAAAAGAGUUAAAGAGUACCUGAAAUUGCUGAAAUGGAAGCGAAGGAAACCAGUGCCGUUCUAUACCAUUUUUCUGUUCUUGCUUGCGAGAAUAGCGCUGUGGUUUAGUACAGGCCAGCGUGAGUUUGAGCCGAAGGAAGCAGCUUUGCAGGAGGCAGCACAAUUUCUGUGCGAUUACUGCUUAGUUUUGCUUCGGCUUGGACUGAGGCUAGUCACUUGUGCUCGUGACGCUGGCGAAAUGGUUUUCUUUACCCCGUCUUGAAACACGGACC
rnacentral:rRNA from 1 species